UACGGGGGGGGCAAGCGUUGUUCGGAAUUACUGGGCGUAAAGGGCUUGUAGGUGGCCAACUAAGUCAGACGUGAAAUCCCUCGGCUUAACCGGGGAACUGCGUCUGAUACUGGAUGGCUGGAGUGUGGGAGAGGGAUGCGGAAUUCCAGGUGUAGCGGUGAAAUGCGUAGAUAUCUGGAGGAACACCGGUGGCGAAGGCGGCAUCCUGGACCGAGAUUGACGCUGAGGCGCGAAAGCUAGGGGAGCAAACGGG
rnacentral:rRNA from 1 species